UACGAAGGGGGCUAGCGUUGUUCGGAAUCACUGGGCGUAAAGGGCGCGUAGGCGGCCGUUCAAGUCGGGGGUGAAAGCCUGUGGCUCAACCACAGAAUUGCCUUCGAUACUGGACGGCUCGAGACCGGAAGAGGUCAGUGGAACUGCGAGUGUAGAGGUGAAAUUCGUAGAUAUUGGGAAGAACACCGGUGGCGAAGGCGGCUCUCUGGACCGAGACUGACGCUGAGGCGCGAAAGCGUGGGGAGCAAACAGG
rnacentral:rRNA from 1 species